rnacentral:tRNA from 1 species
GCGCACGUGGCGGAAUUGGUAGACGCGCUAGCUUGAGGGGCUAGUGGGAGUAAUCUCGUGGAAGUUCGAGUCUUCUCGUGCGCA